rnacentral:lncRNA from 1 species
AUAUACCGCUGAUCCGCCUUAACAUUAUUUACCUUUUAUCGGUUUGACUGUUCAAACCGCCUUCGUUUGCUCAUGGAAACAUAUUGAUCAUGGUGCGGGUGGGUAUGUUAAACACAGGCUGUGACUUACCAAAUACUUUAAACAUUAUUAUUCUAUGCUACGCAGGGGGCAUUUGAAAUAUAGGAGUAACGAUUAGUUACACUGAUACAACUAGGAUAUAAAACCCUGAUUUUUGGUUUUCAUGUAAGUUAAGUCGUAGUCGACCCGUAAAAAGUGCAUACAUCUAACAAUAAAAAAGGACGUUGAAACAGAAAUUUUAGGCAUUAACCACUACAGAGAAAACACGAAUAAAUAUGUACAUCUGAAAAUGAACGAGUUACAACUAUGAGUUUAAAUAUCAUGAACUCGAAUACAAACAGACAAACAAGAGGAAGAAAAAAAAAAGGAAACGGAAUGAAACACUGGGUAGCGUUAUUUGUCAUGUGAAGUGAUGAAUUAUGUCUUUUUAAUGAAUUUAUGAAUGAGCAGGGUUUACAUUUGUCAUACAAUGGCAUUGUGUUUUAAUGUCUACAGAUCUUAAAUAAAAUGUACUAGUAAAUCGACUGAUCUAUUGUUUAUUCCAUUCUGGGGGGAAAAUAUAUACAUAUAGUAUACAGUAAGCAAAAUAUGCGAUUCGAAGAUUCACAUAGAAAUAUGUUUGCAACACAGG